rnacentral:rRNA from 1 species
UACGGAGGGUGCAAGCGUUGUCCGGAUUUAUUGGGUUUAAAGGGUGCGUAGGCGGCCCGUUAAGUCAGCGGUGAAAUCCCGGGGCUCAACCCCGGAACUGCCGUUGAUACUGGCGGGCUUGAGUUCGGUGAAGGUGGGCGGAACUGGCGGUGUAGCGGUGAAAUGCUUAGAUACCGCCAAGAACCCCGAUUGCGUAGGCAGCUCGCUGUGCCGAAACUGACGCUGAGGCACGAAAGCGUGGGGAGCGAACAGG